UUUCGGUAUCCUGUGUUGCUUACCUGUGGGAAGGAAUUUGAUGGUUUCGGUGUCCCCAUACGCCUUGCGCCCUACGGGGUGUUGGGUGGACUUGAGGCAGGCUCCAUGUUGCCCCGUUGUUGAGUGUGUUGAUGCUUGGCCGCUGUGGCCCAUGGGGUCUUGGCUCUUGCUCUCGGAUGUUAGACUAUUGUGUGUGUGUUGGUGUGGGGUCUCGACCUUUUAUCGUCUAAGCUAACACACAUUGUCCCUUUACAUGAACGACCGCCACGCCCGUCUUGAUCGUCUGACCGAGCCUUGUCGUGGGGCUCUGGGAGGACGUCUCAUGCGGG
rnacentral:misc_RNA from 1 species